AAUAUUGGACAAAGGGGGCAACCCUGAUCCAGCCAUGCCGCGCGUGUGAAGAAGGUUNNNGGAUUNUCAAGCACUUUAAUGUUNGUGNCGGGGCUUUAGUCUAAUACCCUGAAGUUUGGACGUUACCAACAGAAUAAGCACCGGCUAACUCUUUCCCAGCAGCCGCGGUAAUACAGAGGGUGCAAGCGUUAAUCGGAAUUACUGGGCGUAAAGCGCGUGUAGGUGGUUCAGUAAGAUGGGUGUGAAGUCGCCGGGCUUAACCUGGGAACUGCUUUCAUAACUGCUGAGCUAGAGUAAGGUAGGGGGUAGUGGAAUUUCAUGUGUAGCGGUGAAAUGCGUAGAUAUAGGAAGGAACACCAGUGGCGAAGGCGACUACCUGGACUGAUACUGACACUGAGGUGCGAAAGCGUGGGGAGCAAA
rnacentral:rRNA from 1 species